UUAUAUUUUUUAAUUGACGAAAAAUUUUCAAAAGUUCCAGACGCAAACUGUAAAUAUAUACAAUUUUUAAAAGAAUCAACAUCAAAACUAAACCUAAUACAACCAGUAUUGAUUCUACAUAAAUAUGCAUUUGUCGAAUUUGGAAACAUGAAAGCGGUUUCUAAAUUCCCAAAUCUUUGGGAACGGAACUGAAUUAAAUUGAAUUAAGAUAUCCAAGUUGAAUAAAGAAUGUCUUUUAUUUCGUGUACUUUAUAUAAGAAUAUUUAUAUAGGAAAUGCUGGAGUCCUAAGAAUUGUCACUUAUCGACUAUCAACAAUCAUUUGCAACCGGUUGAAUUAGGAUAAAGCCGACUAUUUUGCAUAUUGUAUGAAUUCUAAUCAUUGAAUUGGAUUUGAAAACGAUUGAAAGUCGGUUGACGAUCCAUUAAGAAUCGGAUAUAAAUCGAUUGUUAAUCGAUUGAAAAACGGCUGGUAAUCAGUUGAAAAACGAUUGAUAGCUGAUUUACAAUCUUUGCCAGGCGUUUUUCAACCGGUUUCAAUCGUCUUUUAAUCGAUUUCCAAUCAUAAAUGUCCCAAAAUAAUCGAUUUCCAAACGUUUAGCAAUCGGUUGUAUGGCCAAUUGUUUUUUCUUCACAAGGGACAUCACCCAGUACUUGAAACUGAAAGUGUUCGAAUUGAACACAGACGGAGAAGAGGGCGCAGAGAAAUUUUUGCCAAGUGACAUCGAAAGUGUUGUGAAACUGAUUAUCAAACAAAAAGACAUCAAAGUGCCAAUUCGCGAUCCAAACAAACUCGAUCUUGAGAAUGUUCCUAUCUAUGCAAAGAGAGAUAGAAGAGAACAAUUCGACGUGGCCACAUCAGCACCGACCCAAACGGAAGAAACGAAAGCGCAAAAAGUCAAAGGGGACAUGCAAGUGGUAUCUCAAGCACAAAUAAAUGCUCGACGAUCCGAAGUGUCGGCCAUUCAUACGGAAUUUAGCAGUGUCACCGAUGUGUGAUUUUCCCUGAAAGCAUUUUAAAAUUGACUGUUCGAACAUGCAUGAAAUCGAGAAUAAAAACGGAAAAACAAGCAUAGCAAAUAUUUUACCAAAGAAAAAAGAAGUUUGACUUUUCCAUAAACACCGAUGGAAUCGCUGUAUCUCUGCAGUACUCGGCCAAGAACAAGACAAAUAACGAAGAAAUUGAUCGUUCUCGUCGCAUCGUUCAAAUGAUUAUGGAUGGCAAAUUCAAAAAUUUCGUGAGCAUUGAUACCGGCGUGCGGAGUUGGAAUACCACAGUAACACACAACAUUAAAAAUGGCAAAGAAAUCAACUUUGUAAUGUCGAGCAAGCAGUUCCACUGGCAGACUGGUCAAAAUGUGCGAAAUGCCAAAGCAAAGCGUUGGACCAAAGAUUUCGUCCAAGAGGAGCGCCGAGACAGAGAAAACCGUGAAAUUUACCCAGUGAUGCCAUCGCCAAAAGGGUCACAGUGGCUGAAUUACAUAAAGCACCGAGUCAAGAUGAUGAAGCAUGAAAUCUGCGCUUACUCGACUGCCAAGUACACUCGACUCGCCUUGGACAAACACAUCAAAAGUAGUGUUGUCGAUAAUUUGGUGGAAAAGGUUACCGAUAAGCAGCCGACUGUGUUCUUUUUUGGUGCUGAUGGCAAAAUACCACCUGACAGCUCAAUAAAAAUCAAAAAGCACGUGCGCGUCCAGGAGUUCGUAAGACUUUGAGGUCAAUAAAGAAGCGCCGAAAUUUUGUCAUAGAUCUGGUGGACGAAUGGGGAACAUCUCAAACAGACGCAAGAUGUAUAUGCCAAUUCCAAACCCAGAACAAAGCGGCCAGAUUCAAGAGAUGCCGGUGCAUACCCGACGCCAGAACAUUGCUGCCAACAAAAAUUGUGUCAAAGUUGGGUAAGACGGAUCUAUCGGUAUUCCGACAGUUCCAACUAAACGGCGUCCGGCGCCAUGAACGAAGCAUUGGAAGAAGACGAGCCUCUAUUGUCAAAAGUAAAAAGUUACUAUAAAAACUGGAAAUUAAACCCCGAAUGCUCUGUGACUUGGCAUCGUCAAAGGACUAUGGACAUUGAUGGGACUUCCGAUACCGGAGGCGAUCAAUAGAUAUUUGUACAAGGCCCACGAAGCUGUUGCUGAGGCCUCCGAAGUAGUCGCUGCUGUCGCUGAAGCAGCCGCUGCUGCUGCUGCUGCCGCCAACGUAGAUAAUGAUGUAGAAAUGUUCGAAUACGAUCAGCCCGCUGAUCAUGCUGUCUAAUCAGCACAACGCAAACAA